rnacentral:lncRNA from 1 species
CGUACUGCCCUCCAAAAAUCGCCUGCGGUGGCGGGCCACCUCCAAACCACCCCAAACCGUACAAUCCCCAGCCCCUCCUCGGUCCAAAUCCACGACCAGUUUCCCUCAAAUCCGUCUCAAACAAUUCGUUUAGUAGAUCUAAGAAAUCACAUACCUAAAUUCAUCCCUUUUUUCAAUUUUUCCUCAAAUCUCGGACUGUUUGGGGUUAAUACCAACAUCAAUAGACUACUCUCAAUGAGAGUUGUCGAUUGAUGGUAAGUUUAUCUUGUUUCAUGACCAUCGGAAUCUAGUCAAACUCCGGUUGACCGUCCAGUUCCCACCCAUAUCACCAUGGUGUCAUUUUCUCCGGCUUAGCAAGGGAUAUUGUUGCAUGCAACACUGGCCGGUGUGAAGCAACUCUGGUUAGUGCUUGUGUAACGAUUCCUCCAACUUGCUAGAAUUCUUUAUCGAUUCAUUUUGAGUUCCAGCAUGUAUAUUUUGUUCCUUACUUCUUCUAUGUUUUUUCCUCAUUCCCUUUCUUUUUUCUACUUGUUUGUCUCCAGUCAUCGCUACUUAAUUUAGCAGGAGCAAAUAAUUGAUUAUUUGAUUCAUAUCUGUUUGAGUGUGAUAAACUGUUAGCUAUUGAAUUUUUUAUUAUUGUUUGAGCAGUCACAUGAUUAGGUAUCACUGAAACAAUAUUUAAUUUCUUUAAUUCCCUGUUAAAUCGACAGUUUCUUUUGUUUUAGUGUUUGUAUAAUAAUUUCGUACCCAUAUUAUUCUUGAGGAUCAAUUAGUGAGUCACAGGCUUUCUAGGAUUUGAUUACCCUACUUUGGACUUAGGAGUGUAGUUUGUUUUAAGAAUGAAGCCAGGUUCAGGCUCACAUGAUUUCUAUAGAGUUGAAAGGUAAAAAGAUAAGUAAAAGAAGGUCUGUAGUUCUGAGAGUAGAAAGUAACGGAGGUAAAAAAGGUAUUAAGGGGAUUAGACUUAGAGAAUCUUUAUAACUAACCCCUAGGAAGCUUCUAGGAAAGAAAAACCAGCAGGGGUCUGCCGGGGAGGGACUUGAAGAGUAAAAAUAGAAAAGAAAAAAGGAUUAAGAAGAAAAAGAAAAAUCUGAAGAGCAGCUUGGAAAAUCAGUUUAAAUAAAUGACCAUCCUCACACUAUAGGCAUUCAUACUCAUUCACAAUCUGGAGAUUCACUCACACACAUUCACCUAGCUGAAACAACUUUCAAAAGUUCAAAAAUAUUUCAAAAACCAGAUAUGAAAAGCCAAAAAAUGGCUCAAAAAACAGAAGAAAAUUAGCUUUCAAAAGAGAUUUUUGAAGUUGUUUCCACUAUUGUUGUUUGUUCUAUACUUUCUGAUUUUAGAAAAUAAUUCAGACUCAAAUCACUGUCCAAUUCUGCUGUUUAUUGCUGGAUCUGUGUUGCAGAGCUUCAACUACCUGAU